CGGACCAAGAGACCGGCGCACGGGUGCGUAACGCGUAUGCAAUCUACCUUUUGCAGAGGGAUAGCCCAGAGAAAAUUUGGAUUAAUACCUCAUAGUAUAGUACUUUGGCAUCAAGGAACUAUUAAAGUCACAACGGCAAAAGAUGAGCAUGCGUCCCAUUAGCUAGUUGGUAAGGUAACGGCUUACCAAGGCUACGAUGGGUAGGGGUCCUGAGAGGGAGAUCCCCCACACUGGUACUGAGACACGGACCAGACUCCUACGGGAGGCAGCAGUGAGGAAUAUUGGACAAUGGGCGCAAGCCUGAUCCAGCCAUGCCGCGUGCAGGAUGACGGUCCUAUGGAUUGUAAACUGCUUUUAUACAGGAAGAAACACUCCGACGUGUCGGAGCUUGACGGUACUGUAAGAAUAAGGAUCGGCUAACUCCGUG
rnacentral:rRNA from 1 species